AUACUUGCCUGGCAGGGGCAAUAGCAUGACUACAAAGGCGAUUCUCCCAGGGGGAGAGUUCUCCAUUGCACUCUGGUGUGCUGAUCCCUGAGAUUUCCCAAAACAUGGAAAACUCGACUUCAGAGUCUGUGGUGGGGACUGUGCUCGCACCCUCUCCUG